AGUGAACGCUGGCGGUAGGCCUAACACAUGCAAGUCGAACGGCAGCACAGUAAGAGCUUGCUCUUACGGGUGGCGAGUGGCGGACGGGUGAGGAAUACAUCGGAAUCUACUUUUUCGUGGGGGAUAACGUAGGGAAACUUACGCUACUACCGCAUACGACCUACGGGUGAAAGCAGGGGAUCUUCGGACCUUGCGCGAUUGAUUGAGCCGAUGCCGGAUUAGCUAGUUGGCGGGGUAAAGGCCCACCAAGGCGACGAUCCGUAGCUGGUCUGAGAGGAUGAUCAGCCACAAUGGAACGGAGACACGGUCCAGACUCCUACGGGAGGCAGCAGUGGGGAAUAUUGGACAAUGGGCGGAAGCCUGAUCCAGCCAUACCGCGUGAGUGAAGAAGGCCUUCGGGUUGUAAAACCCUUUUGUUAGGAAAGAAAAGCAGCAGGUUAAUACCCCGCUGUUCUGACGGUACCCAAUGAAUAAGCACCGGCUAACUUCGUG
rnacentral:rRNA from 1 species